rnacentral:lncRNA from 1 species
GCGGAUAUGAUAAAGUCUUACAGAUCCCAACAUUUGUUUCUGUUACAGGGAGAGCAUUGCAGUCAUUCGACCAACACUGAUCGAAUUUUCACAAGAUUUCCAGAGGUUGCACUUGGUCUACUGCCGCAAUGGAGACGAUGGAGGCGGGAACUCUGGAAGACGGAGACGAAAACAACCACGAAACUCAUUGCAUCCCUUCUGAUCCUGCAAUGAAAACCUUUGACUCCAAGAAUCAAGCAUCCUCGGCAGACUUAAAUCGGUUCAAAUCUUACUUAGGGGCGCAAAAGAAGCAGAGGCUGUGACUCUGAGGGGAAAACCAAAUAAAUUGAGUACUUGGAAGGCGCCCAAUUUGCAAAAGCUGCAAACGAUGGGCUAACGCAAAUGGAACCAUAGCAUACAACGAUCAUUUCAUUUCGUACCCCUUUUCGCAACAAAAAUAUACUCCUUCUUCAUCAAGAGCUAAUUUUCUCUCCAUCUUAACUUGAGUCUCCAUUCGGGAAGUCGAAAGUAAUCGGAUCUAAAGUGACGGACUCGGUCAAGAAAAUAGUUUACUCUUAUAGAUACACGUAUUUAAAUACAAUUUUUCUAACGAAGAGUUACAAUUUAUUCAAACAAAGUUCCAAUUUUACUGCCACUUAAACGCAAAAAAAUUGCGAUUUUUAUCCGGACUUUAUCAAAAUCUUGGUUUUGGAGAUUUUUACUGUCAAUGAACUUGCGAAAAUCCACCAAUUGAAUUGCAAAUCAUUAUGAUCAUUAAUUUUUGAGAUAGCCUGAAAAAUUCCCAGGCGAUAUUUACUCGGUUGAGGAAUGUAUGUUACAUAGAGACUUACUGCCUAGCCGGAACCGAGUUAAUAGAUCCGUGAAAAAACACUCAACUAUAUAAAUAGUUUACUCGUCGUCCUGCCACAUAGCCUACGGUAGACCUGGCCGAUAAUACACUCAUUCGAAAGGUAGUUUUGAUUGAGGUUCAUUGUGUGACUUAUAGUGAGCUAACAGAUCCACAGUUGAAUAAAUAGUCGACCCUUCAACUGUCACAUUCCCUGCACAAAACUAUAAUCCUUUGAGGAUACUGAAUGAAUCGUGCGUAAAUUGGUGAAACGAGGGUUGCAUAAUGUCAAGGAG